GAUGAACGCUGGCGGCGUGCCUAAUACAUGCAAGUCGAGCGAAUGGAUUAAGAGCUUGCUCUUAUGAAGUUAGCGUCGGACGGGUGAGUAACACGUGGGUAAACUGCCCAUAAGACUGGGAUAACUCCGGGAAACCGGGGCUAAUACCGGAUAACAUUUUGAACCGCAUGGUUCGAAAUUGAAAGGCGGUUUCGGCCGUCACUUAUGGAUGGACCGGCGGCGCAUUAGCUAGUUGGUGAGGUAACGGCUCACCAAGGCAACGGUGCGUAGCCGACCUGAGAGGGUGAUCGGCCACACUGGGACUGAGACACGGCACAGACUCAUACGGGAGGAAGCAGUAGGGAAUCUUCCGCAAUGGACGAAAGUCUGACGGAGCAACGCCGCGUGAGUGAUGAAGGCUUUCGGGUCGUAAAACUCUGUUGUUAGGGAAGAACAAGUGCUAGUUGAAUAAGCUGGCACCUUGACGGUACCUAACCAGAAAGCCACGGCUAACUACGUGCCAGCCGCCGCCGUAA
rnacentral:rRNA from 1 species